ACAAAAACAUACUAAGUAUUAUUAAUCGGCUAGCAAAGAGAAGUUAAACAUACGACAUGAAGUGAAUUAACUAGUGCGCACGACUAGUUAAAAAAACAAACUUCCUUUGACAAUAAGUUUCUAAUUAAAUCAUGGCUGCGCCUGGGCAGCGUUAUUGUGAGAGUGAAAGUGGACGUGCUGCUACUCCCCUCAUUCCCAACAUGUAUCAAGUACCUGCAUUGAGUAAUGCAAGAGUGAGAUGACACAUCUCAGCAAGUAAAAUAAUAUCAAACUGUUUAACCACAUAAGAAUAUUGUUUUACCACCACUUGAUUCCACAACCUUUUUAUUACGAAGGUGCAGCACGUAUACAACAUACAACACACCUAGUCACCACACCUCGCAGGUAGAAACCACAAUAGUAACAUAGUAAUGUCACACUUCAUAUAUACCUCAUGAGUGCAAAUGUCUGCAAAUGCAAGGAUGACUUCUGCCUUCAUACCUCUAAGGAUAUGAAGCCGCAUCGUACCCCUCCUCGGGCAACGUACGAUGCUAAAAAUGUACCGGUACGGUCGGACCAUAAGAUCAGGACAUAACUUCAAAAUGCAAGAUGGAUGAUGCGAUGAGCAUGUCAUGCCUACAACACUUCAUAUAAUGUGAUUCAAAAAAAUACUUCAACUUCAUCCAAGAUGGGAAUCAACCACAUAUAUCAUUACCAAAUUAUGAUCAUCCACAAUAUUAGACAAUUGACAAUUAAUACUUCCAAACAAAUAAACAUCAUCAUAGAAUUCAAUGAUUAACAUAAUUAAAACUUAUGCAUACUCAAUGUCAGGGAAUAGGAUGCAACCCAAACGGUAGCAACCACCACUGUAUUUACUUGCCUUUACCGGAAGUUCGGGCAAAUGCCUAAGUACGAUCCGGAAGUCCACCACCUUGGGUUCCUCCUUUCCUCCUUCUUUUCUUCCUUCUUCCUCCCUCCAAACUCCCAUGGAAGACUUGCACCCACACGACGGACACCAAGCGGGGAGGCUCCACC
rnacentral:lncRNA from 1 species